UGUUUAGGAAAACCUAAUGAAAAAAUAUUGUUAAAUAUUUGAAAGUUGUAAACGCAAUAUAGGGUGCUUGUAUAGUAUUAGGUAGUUGGUUAUGGUAAUGGCUAACCAAGCCUGCGAUGCUUAGUUGGUUUUAACGAACGAUCAACCACAACGGGCUAGAGAAUAGAGCCUGAACUUAAUUGGCAGCAGUAAAGAAUCUUGGACAAUGUAUUUAAAUGUACGAUCCAGCAAGCCUCUGUUGGGGAAUUGACAGCGUGUAAUAUGCGUUGUAAAACCUGACUUAUUUCGGAAUAUUAUGAAUGUACGAAAUGGAGAAGUCCCGGCUAAAUUCGUGCCAGCAGCCGCGGUAAUACGGAUGGGACAAGUGUUAUUCAUCAUAACUAGGCGUAAAAGGGCUUUUAGGUUGUUAGUUGUG
rnacentral:rRNA from 1 species